rnacentral:rRNA from 1 species
GACGAACGCUGGCGGCGUGCCUAAUACAUGCAAGUAGGACGCAGUUGCGAACGGGUGAGUAACGCGUAGGUAACUGCCUAUUAGAGGGGGAUAACUAUUGGAAACGAUAGCUAAUACCGCAUACUAGUAGAUGGACCUGCGUUGUAUUAGCUAGUAGGUAGGGUAAUGGCCUACCUAGGCGACGAUACAUGACCGGCCUGCGAGGGUGAUCGGCCAAACUGGGAAUGGUACAAGGCCCAGACUCCGACGGGAGGCAGGAGGAGGGAAUCUUCGGCAAUGGGGGGAACCCUGACCGAGCAAAGCCGCGGGAGUGAAGAAGGGUUUCGGAUCGUAAAGCUCUGUUGUUAAGGAAGCGGUACUUAACCAGAAAGGGACGGCUAACUACGUGCCAGCCGCCGCGGUAAUAC